AUACAUUUCUGAAUAAUUAAGUCUUUUUCUAAAUAAUUGUAAAUAAAUUCAUUCAAGUUUUUUUGUUAAAUCGCUGUCUUAUGGUCCACAAAAUAACAUGAAUCUGUUCAAAUACUGCUUAUUAGUAGUCAUCUUUGUAAGGCAGAAAACCGUGAUUUUUUUAUUAUGUAUUAUAAUAAUUAUCCACCUUUUUCCCUAGCAUGUCUACAGAGAUUUAAAUUAUGGGUGACACUUAAAAAGACUCUUCCAAUCUUAAGGUUGGGCUACAAAUUACCCCUAUCUAUUAGUUUGACUGAAUUAAUAGAUUAGAUUUGCUGUAUAGUUUAUUUACUAUUAUAUUUCUCUCACCAUUUCAUUUUCAUUUCAAAAGUCACAAAUAGCCGCUGAGAGACAGUGCGUGUUGCCAACAAAAAACGCGUUUCGUCAAGAUGUUUGGCACCGUACGCUUUCCGUAAGUAACAGGUGGAUAAUAAAAGGUAAUGUUUUACGUCUGUUCAGCAGGCAGUUCCGCAAGAGAGCAGCACGUAAACAAGCUGCUGGCAUAUUUAUAUUUACAAUUACAAGCUUAAAUAGUAAUAAGUACACAUUUAAAUGUGUACUUAAAAGUGCUAAGCUAAUAAUUUUGCACGACCUUAUGGAAACUAGACGUACAGUAGCAGGUUUGACUGAAUCUUUCUCUGUGUCUCUGAUGAGGAGGAUGUGAAGCUCAGGACUGGUCAUCAUAUCAACACAUCAAUCUACAGACAAACAUCACAUUUAAUAAAGAUUUAAUGAAGAAA